CCAGAGCUAAAAAGUCAUAAAUCACAUAUAGAGAGGCACAUCUUCUCAGAGAAACUGGUCUCGCUCUACUACACACGGAUAUCAAAUACAGAUGAGAAUCAUAUUCAGAUGAAAAUAAGAAUUCACCCCAACAUGUGAAAAAUGUUAGCUGCUGAUCAGUGGGCAUGACAUGAUUCAAGACUCCCUGAAAACUGGGAAAUCGUGCCUGGCGUGGGUCCCUGCAGUACCGGAAGCCCAGAGACCACGAAGCACACCGUUCAAGGUGCUCCAAAUGAGCUCUUUGCUUUGACAUGGAUUCCGCCAAGUGUGCAAGUUUCUUAUUUCUGCUGCUUCAUGUUUAGCCAUUUUCCUGAAAACUUAAGAUUCCAGCCUUUCCCACUGGACCAGGAAGAGGCAGGGAGAAAAUACUCUCAGAAUUGUGCAGGAACAGAGGGACCAUCUGCUUCCAUGGACAGUCUGGCUCCUUCCUGGGACAACUGAUGAACGACAGGUGUAGACUAUUACUUCAGGUUACCAUGUUCUGUUAAGGUGCCUGCGGACCCCUGUACUGUGGAUAUAUAAGAAAACACCACUGUUGUCAGGAAGUACACACUUAACUAGUGAGGAUGACUAUUUAGCAAUAUCAUGAUUCACUAUUUAUUUAUUUAUUUGCAGCAGGUCUCACUGAGUUGCUUAGGGCCUCCCUAAAUUGCUGAGGCUGGCUUUCAAGUCAUGAUCCUCCUGCCUCAGCCUCCCAAGCCACUGGGAUUAUUGGCCUGUACCUCCACACCUGGCUCAUAAUUUAUUCUUGAAUGAUCCAAUAAUUUAUUCUUGAAUGAUCCAAAAGAAAUUUAGAGCUGGGCAGAAUUCCUUUGUCCUGCUCUUAGACCUUUUAUAUUUAUUUAAAAUCACACAAGUAUUUGUAAAUGCGUAGGAACGAAUGAAGGAAAAAGCUAUACUUAAUCAAAUCAAAGAUGCAAUUGAUUCUAAAAUAGGUCAUACAUCUUUGAUGUCCCACAAUGAAGGAAAAAUACAGUUAUUAAAAAUAUGGCAUAAUACUUUCCUAUUGAUUUAGAAUGUCUCUUCUUAGGCUUUGAGAGAACUCUUUUAGAUUUGUCAUGAGGAGGUUUUAUUACACAUCCCUCUUCUGCAGGUAUAAAAACAAAUAGAUAAGGGAAAAAAAGAGGCUAAAGUAUUCUUGCAACUUCUUCACUUUCUGGUUUCAGUGUUUCAGAAUCUCUUUUGGGUUUAGAAUCGUAUCUGUGCAGUACCAUCCUCCAAGCCAUCAAGCAUGUAGGUGAUACAGCAGCUUUUCUAAAGAAUGCUCCAUGAGACAGGACUCUCCCUCUGCAGUCAUUUAAUUGGGCGGACAGGAGCAUCCACUAAGUGUGCACACGCUCAGGAACGUCAGCAACCACACAAUGGCUGCCGGCCUGGAAAAAGGAGAUGCGUAACACCACAGAUGUGAUUUCAGAGGUUCACAAUAAAACGUGCAUUUGAAAUGUGACAUUGUAAAGUUAACAGGGCUGGGCUUGUGGAAACUGUUUCUUUCACUCCAAUGUUGUGCCAGUAAGACAAGAUCAUUUGUUGGCAUUAGGUCUGAAAUUGAAGAGAAAAAAAAAAAAAAAGAAUCCACCUGAUCCGCAGAAAAUAG